rnacentral:rRNA from 1 species
UACGUAGGGUGCAAGCGUUAAUCGGAAUUACUGGGCGUAAAGCGUUCGCAGGCGGUUUUUUAAGUCUGACGUGAAAGCCCCGGGCUUAACCUGGGAAUUGCGUUGGAGACUGCAAGGCUUGAAUCUGGCAGAGGGGGGUAGAAUUCCACGUGUAGCAGUGAAAUGCGUAGAGAUGUGGAGGAACACCGAUGGCGAAGGCAGCCCCCUGGGUCAAGAUUGACGCUCAUGCACGAAAGCGUGGGGAGCAAACAGG